rnacentral:rRNA from 1 species
GACGAACGCUGGCGGCGUGCCUAAUACAUGCAAGUCGAGCGGACCAAAGGGAGCUUGCUCCUGGAGGUUAGCGGCGAACGGGUGAGUAACACGUGGGCAACCUGCCUGUAAGACUGGGAUAACAUCGAGAAAUCGGUGCUAAUACCGGAUAAUAAAAAGAACUGCAUGGUUCUUUUUGAAAGAUGGUUUCGGCUAUCACUUACAGAUGGGCCGCGGCGCAUUAGCUAGUUGGUGAGGUAACGGCUCACCAAGGCGACGAUGCGUAGCCGACCUGAGAGGGUGAUCGGCCACACUGGGACUGAGACACGGCCCAGACUCCUACGGGAGGCAGCAGUAGGGAAUCUUCCGCAAUGGACGAAAGUCUGACGGAGCAACGCCGCGUGAGUGAUGAAGGUUUUCGGAUCGUAAAACUCUGUUGUUAGGGAAGAACAAGUGCCGUUCGAAAGGGCGGCACCUUGACGGUACCUAACGAGAAAGCCACGGCUAACUACGUGCCAGCAGCCGCGGUAA